GGGCAGCGAUCGCCGAAUCCCCGUCAGGCGCGAGCCUGGGGAGCCGGGGACCCAUGUCCCCUGGGGUGAAUCGGACGCCUUCGCACCGCGCGGAGGGGCCCGUAGGAGACCUUCCUGCUCCGAACCCGUCAGCUAACCCGGUAGGCGAGAGGGAAGGAAAGG
rnacentral:sRNA from 1 species